GAAACAGCUUAGAAAAGAUGAGUAAUCUUAGAAUCUUAUUACAGAGAAUCACGGUUGAUGAGAGGUGACAUAAGAGACUAAGAUGAAGAUGGUCUUGGAGCUUCACGAAUUACGAGUAUUUUAUAUAAGUAAUUCACGAUUGACGACCGAUAAAACGUCUGGGUAUAGCUUCCAUUAGUGUACCUAUUGAGGAUAGUAUUGUGAGAUGCUAUCAAAUUAGGGUGGUAACACGUUAAUUAACCAUUGAUUAAUCAACGUCCCUAGG
rfam:Lactobacillus reuteri DSM 20016, complete genome.